UUUGUACACACCGCCCGUCACACCAUGGGAGUGGGGGAUACCAGAAGUAGGUAGGGUAACCGCAAGGAGUCCGCUUACCACGGUAUGCUUCAUGACUGGGGUGAAGUCGUAACAAGGUAGCCGUAGGGGAACCUGCGGCUGGAUCACCUCCUUU
rnacentral:rRNA from 1 species